rnacentral:tRNA from 1 species
CGGGCCGUGGUAUAGUGGUAUUACGUACGCUUCGGGUGCGUAUAACCCGAGUUCGAUUCUCGGCGGCCCGA